AGGACGAACGCUGGCGGCGUGCUUAACACAUGCAAGUCGAACGAUGAAGCCCUUCGGGGUGGAUUAGUGGCGAACGGGUGAGUAACACGUGGGUAAUCUGCCCUGUACUUUGGGAUAAGCCCUGGAAACGGGGUCUAAUACCGGAUAUGACUGCGCAUCGCAUGGUGUGUGGUGGAAAGCUCCGGCGGUAUGGGAUGAACCCGCGGCCUAUCAGCUUGUUGGUGGGGUAAUGGCCCACCAAGGCGACGACGGGUAGCCGGCCUGAGAGGGCGACCGGCCACACUGGGACUGAGACACGGCCCAGACUCCUACGGGAGGCAGCAGUGGGGAAUAUUGCACAAUGGGCGCAAGCCUGAUGCAGCGACGCCGCGUGAGGGAUGACGGCCUUCGGGUUGUAAACCUCUUUCGACAGGGACGAAGGGUGACUGACGGUACCUGUAGAAGAAGCACCGGCUAACUACGUGCCAGCAGCCGCGGUAAUACGUAGGGUGCGAGCGUUGUCCGGAAUUAUUGGGCGUAAAGAGCUCGUAGGCGGUUUGUCACGUCGGCUGUGAAAACUGGAGGCUUAACCUUCAGCUUGCAGUCGAUACGGGCAGACUUGAGUUCGGUAGGGGAGACUGGAAUUCCUGGUGUAGCGGUGAAAUGCGCAGAUAUCAGGAGGAACACCGGUGGCGAAGGCGGGUCUCUGGGCCGAUACUGACGCUGAGGAGCGAAAGCGUGGGGAGCGAACAGGAU
rnacentral:rRNA from 1 species